rnacentral:ncRNA from 1 species
GAUAGAGGCGCGGGACUCAUCAGUAGGCUCUGGCAAGGCGGGCAGCCGUCGGAGCGGAAAGGGGGAACCGCCGAAAUGGAGAGGAAGUGCCCAUUCCUUUCUGUUGGGCCGUCAGAGAAAAUCUGCCGGACUGUCACAAAACUUUGUGAAGCGCUAUC